CUUGAACAAUUCCAGGUCACUUCCCUUCAAGGCAGAUGUAAUGGAGCUUGAGAAAUUUCAGAGAAUGGCAACUACAGUAAUCAAGGAGGGAGAUGCACUUUCCUGUCAGAGUGGAUUUUAAAAGAAGAGCAUACUACAGACUAGAAAGUGGGCACAAAUAAAACACUGAAAUAGUAAAACAAACAAAUCUCCAAGGGCUAGAUCUAAGAGGUUCCUACCACUUUUGAACAUUUGCUUCGUUGGGUAUGCUUACAACAACCCAUAAGAAGCGAAAGUGAGUCUCCAGGAAGUGAUUUGGCCGUGGUCCCAUAAGGGAAUAGUUGGCAAAAAACCAAGAUUGUCAAGAAAAGAUGGUACAUGGUAUUUGAUGACUCGGAGAAUCAGAGAGAAUUUUUUAGAUGGCACUUCUGGAGGCCAGAAGUCCAAAAUCAAGGCGUCGGCAGGGCCAUGCUCCCUCUGAAGGCUCUAAGAGAGGAUCCUUCCUUGUUUCCUCCAGCUUCUGGUGGCUCCUGGCAUUUUUUGGCUUGUGGCGGCAUAACUCCAAACUCUGCCUCUGUUUUCACGUGGCCUUCUUCCCUGCGUGUCUCUUUGUGUCCUUAUGUCUUUGUAUUAGAACACCAGUCACUGGAUUUAAGGCUCGCCCUAAAUCCGGGAUGAUUUCAUCUCGAGAUCCUUAACUAAUUAUGUCUAUCAAGGCCCUAUAUCCAAAUAAGUCCACAUUCUGAGGUUCUGGGUGGACAAGAAUUUUGGGGGAAUAUUAUUCAACCUACUACAAUGUGUGACCCAUUACAGAAAAUGGACAAAAGAAAGAGAUUGUGUAUUUAGAAGACAGGAAAUUUGUUUACUCUUUAUGAUUAACUUGUUAUUCUUACUUCAGUUAAUUAUCUAAUGAUGUGGACAGUCAAAAGCAAACUUGACCCUUAUCUAUACUAUUCUGCAAGACAGUGGUUCCCAGAUGCUGGGUGAUGGAAUAGCACUAGUCUGAGGGGACAUUUUCACAGGCCAUGGCCUCUUUCCCUGUAAACCCAGUAGGCUCUACAUUGAGGCCCCACGGCCUCCAGCUGCCCAGCCUCAGUCAAGAGGAGCUACUGAGCAGGAGAGUCUUAUAGGUACCUGGGUUCCACUCCCUAGAUUCAUCAGAGCCUGGUAAGGAAUAAGGGUAGCUUCAGAGCUGUCAGUGAACUUGCUUCAGUUUACACAGAAUAUUCCAGAUGAAGAGAAAUGCCACUAAGAGAAUUCCUUCCAUUUUUGUUAACAAAUCUAUGAGAAACUGAAUUUAAUAGUGAAUGAUUGAGAUAAAAUAUGAGAAUAAAUUGAACAUACAUUUAUGCUCUACUUCAUGGUAUCCAUUGAGUAUAU